GAUUAACGCUAGCGGCAGGCAUAAUACAUGCAAGUUGAACGGGAUAAGUUGUAGCAAUACGACUUUGAGAGUGGCGCACGGGUGCGUAACACGUAUGCAACCUACCUUAAACUGGGGAAUAGCCCCUCGAAAGAGGGAUUAAUACCGCAUAACGAGGCGUAUAGGCAUCUAUACUCCUCCAAAACUCCGGUGGUUUAAGAUGGGCAUGCGGCUGAUUAGCUAGUUGGUGAGGUAAUGGCUCACCAAGGCUACGAUCAGUAGGGGGUCUGAGAGGAUGUCCCCCCACGCUGGUACUGAGACACGGACCAGACUCCUACGGGAGGCAGCAGUAGGGAAUAUUGGACAAUGGGCGCAAGCCUGAUCCAGCCAUGCCGCGUGCAGGAUGACUGCCCUAUGGGUUGUAAACUGCUUUUGUACGGGAAGAAAUCACAUUACGUGUAAUGUGUUGACGGUACCGUGAGAAUAAGGAUCGGCUAACUUCGUGCCAGCAGCCGCCGUAAUAC
rnacentral:rRNA from 1 species